AGAGGCUUAGGCUAGCAUGAAGACCAAGGGCCUUCAAAGCCCUUAGCGGGAGUGAGAAUCUCCCAGCCUCUG
rnacentral:tRNA from 1 species